rnacentral:rRNA from 1 species
CCUACGGGAGGCAGCAGUCGAGAAUCAUUCACAAUGGGGGAAACCCUGAUGGUGCGACGCCGCGUGGGGGAAUGAAGGUCUUCGGAUUGUAAACCCCUGUCAUGUGGGAGCAAAUUAAAAAGAUAGUACCACAUGAGGAAGAGACGGCUAACUCUGUGCCAGCAGCCGCGGUAAUACAGAGGUCUCAAGCGUUGUUCGGAAUCACUGGGCGUAAAGCGUGCGUAGGCUGUUUCGUAAGUCGUGUGUGAAAGGCGCGGGCUCAACCCGCGGACGGCACAUGAUACUGCGAGACUAGAGUAAUGGAGGGGGAACCGGAAUUCUCGGUGUAGCAGUGAAAUGCGUAGAUAUCGAGAGGAACACUCGUGGCGAAGGCGGGUUCCUGGACAUUAACUGACGCUGAGGCACGAAGGCCAGGGGAGCGAAAGGGAUUAGAUACCCUAGUAGUC